AGAAUUCUAGUUAAAAAAAAACAUAUGCCUGUCAAGUAUAAGUUGCUCUCUGAGCGAGUUCUA
rnacentral:tRNA from 1 species